CAAUAUUAUCCCUUGUGGCACUGCAGGCACCUCCCGGCAGGCACCAAGCUUGCACCAGCACACGCAGGCACCCACCACGGCCCCUGUCACUGUCUUGUUCUGCCAAAAUACGUUAAAUAAAGCAGCAGUUUAUGGCACCCUUUUAACCUAGUGCCUUGUGUCUGACGUCUGGUUGUGUGGUCUGUCCCAGCCUGCUCCGCACAGUACGCAGGCAAACCUAUCCACAAGACACUUUUAGCUUUCAAUAACAAGCACCAACUUCUUUUAUAUUAUACUAAACUAAUAGAAAAUUAAAUAUAAAGAAUUAUAAGCGUGUAGAAAUAAAUCUCAGGCCAUUAUAACUGUAAUUGUCAAAGUAUCUAGAUGUUACUGAUUGAAGCGCCAAAUUCAAACUUGUCCUGGCGGGGCUUGCACUGCAAUGUCUCGUCCCUUGUGUGGCGUAAUGUGAAAUCAUUGAAAAGCUUGUGUGAAUUGAAGGCUUGGCUUAAUACUGUGUUAUAUCUCAGCUUAUCAUUAUUAAGUAUUUACCAUUUGACGUUAAAAAACAACAAUACUUCACAGAGAUAUCCAAGUAUAACAGAGGCUUCCAUACUGUAGCUAAUGAUCAACAGAGAAUUACCAGCCUUUCUCUGUGUGUCAAGGAGAGCCCUUAGGGAAACGUUCGUGUGCGUGUGUGUGUGUGUGUGUGUGGUAUGGAAAGAUAUAAUUGCUUAAGUACAGCCUCUCUCUCUCUCUCUCUCUCUCUCUCUCUCUCUCUCUCUCUCUCUCUCUCUCUCUCUCUCUCUACGUAUUUUGCUUGUCUGCCCUCGUGUGUGUGUGUGUGUGUAUCUCAUUUAUUUAUUUAAGUUAUUUUUCCACAGUGAUGUAACGCCCUUAGGGAAACGUUCGUGUGCGUGUGUGUGUGUGUGUGUGGUAUGGAAAGAUAUAAUUGCUUAAGUACAGCCUCUCUCUCUCUCUCUCUCUCCAUAUUUUGCCUGUCUGCCCUCGUGUGUGUGUGUGUGUGUGUAUCUCAUUUAUUUAUUUAAGUUAUUUUUCUUCUUCACGCAGAUAGUAAUUGACGAACACAACACACCACGUGGAGAGAAGCAAGGUGUGGAGUACCCAAGCCUCUCACAGUCCAUGCUAGUAGACUCACCCUGCAUGUGGAGAUCUCCCAAAAUGCACGGAGGUUAUUCCAGAGCUGCAGGACAGAGUACUUGAGGCCAUUGGUGAACAGAAAGCUGAGGUUGAACAAAGCCAAGAAUUGAUAGCUGCCCAAGGUGUAAGCAAGAUUCACAAUGAUGAGGUCAUUGUGACGUGUGCAAUGUGUCCACUGGUCUUGGCCUUCCUGACCAAGGCAGCCACACAAAGGAAAUUCCACGUUAUUGUUGCCGAACGUGCCCCUAAAUAUGAUGGUCACCCAGUGGCAAAAGCUUUAUGUACUGCUGGAAUUGAGACAACAUUAAUUCAAGACUCUGCAGUGUUCCCCAUCAUGUCACGUGUCAACAAGGUCAUCAAAGGUCAUCGUUGGCACCGAGACGGUGGUGACCAACGGAGGCAUUGAGACCUUUGUUGGUGCAGCCUCUCUUGCCUCACCACCAAAGUUUUAUUCUGUUCCACUGUAUGUGUGCACUCCCACAUACAAAUUUAGCUUGAUGGGCUGUGAAGAAAUAAGCCACCAAACCACCACUUCUAUUAUCCCAGAGGGAACAAAGUUUUGGCCGUCUGUAAAUACUGCGCUGACUCAGCUAGAUUACGUUCCUCCAGAAAAUGUCACCAGUUUGAUAACUAACA